rnacentral:rRNA from 1 species
AACCAGCACCUCAAGUGGUCAGGAUGAUUAUUGGGCCUAAAGCAUCCGUAGCCGGCUCUGUAAGUUUUCGGUUAAAUCUGUACGCUCAACGUACAGGCUGCCGGGAAUACUGCAGAACUAGGGAGUGGGAGAGGUAGACGGUACUCGGUAGGAAGGGGUAAAAUCCUUUGAUCUAUCGAUGACCACCUGUGGCGAAGGCGGUCUACCAGAACACGUUCGACGGUGAGGGAUGAAAGCUGGGGGAGCAAACCGG